rnacentral:rRNA from 1 species
UGGGGAAUCUUGCGCAAUGCGCGAAAGCGUGACGCAGCAACGCCGCGUGGGGGAAGAAGGCCUUCGGGUUGUAAACCCCUUUCAGUUGGGACGAAGCUCCGUCGGUGAAUAGCCGGCUGGAGUGACGGUACCUUCACAAGAAGCCCCGGCUAACUACGUGCCAGCGGCCGCGGUAAUACGUAGGGGGCUAGCGUUGUCCGGAAUCAUUGGGCGUAAAGAGCGUGUAGGCGGCCCGGUAAGUCCGCUGUGAAAGUCGGGGGCUCAACCCUCGAAAGCCGGUGGAUACUGUCGGGCUAGAGUGCGGAAGAGGCGAGUGGAAUUCCUGGUGUAGCGGUGAAAUGCGCAGAUAUCAGGAGGAACACCGAUUGCGAAGGCAGCUCGCUGGGACGUAACUGACGCUGAGACGCGAAAGCGUGGGGAGCAAACAGGAUUAGAUACCCUGGUAGUCCACGCUGUAAACGAUGGGCACUAGGUGUGGGGGGUGUCGACUCCCUCCGUGCCGAAGCUAACGCAUUAAGUGCCCCGCCUGGGGAGUACGGCCGCAAGGCUAA